UAUAGUGGAAUACAAAUAUGCCGAGUUAAGGACUUUUCUGAAUCUCGCAAUUUUAGCUGUCAAAACCUAAAACUCAUGUUUGCAGCAUGUUUGAAGCUCACAUAUAGUUGAAUACAAAUCUGCCGAGUUAAGGUAUUUACCCAUUCCCACCUGGAACAUCAUGUUUGCUGUGAUGGCUGUUUCUACUUCUGUUUAGAAGGCAUCCCAGCUGAGAGAUAGAGUUUCAGUGACUUGAAGAGUCUGAUGUGAAUAAUGCCGUGUGUAUGCAUACAUGUUCCAGUUCUGGUUGACGCCUUACUAAAUUCAUCACCCAUAUGAUAGCAUCAGGAAAUAUAUCUCAACAUGAGGAGUAAGACUGUUUGUUCCUGUGAUUUCCAUUUUUACGGUUUUUUCAUCAUGAAAAUUGAAGUGUGCUUCUUAGAAAUGAGCACACAGUUUCUUUAUGGAAUCGUGUGGUCCUGGCACGGAGAUUCUUGUGCCAAUG